CAAAGAUGAAGAUUUGAUCUCAGAUCAAUUCUGAUGCAGCAGACAUUGGUGAUUCAUAUGCACUGGCUGACUUGGGGGCUGCCUGAGAUCGGUUACGGCUCAAUGUGCCAUUUUGAGUCACCGUGUGGAUGAGUGGUGAUCAGUCCAGGCAGGCUAUUGUCCACCCUCUCCUUUACACCCUCUUCACCCAUGACUGCACCUCCUCCCAGGAUGCCACCGCCAUCAUCAAGUUUGCUGAUGACACGGCAGUCAUUGCCCUGCUCGGCGGUGGAGAAUAGGAAUGGUGGCUCACCUGGUGUUCUGGUGCCUUGAAAAUAAUCUCUUAUUUAAUCAUGAAAAGACUGAACAGAUGAUUGUCGACCUGAGGAGGAGGAAAGUGCAGCUUGCACCACUUGUUAUCACGAGGACUCAGGAAGAGUGGGUGAAACCUUCAAACUCCUUCGUACCUCAAUUAGCGAUGACUUCGCUUGGACCCUCAACACACAGCACAUCAUGAGGAACGCUGAACACAAGCCACCUUACGGAAGCUGAGAAAAUUCCGAAUAUCCCCACCACAACCUCUCAGCAAUUUUGAGGGGAGGACGGAACAGUAAGGCAGCCUCACAUCACAUCUACAGUAUGAGAGCUGUACUAAAAAAAGAGGGCACAUCAUCACAUUUUUUUCUGCUUCUUCCAUCUGGAAGACACUACAGGAGUGUCGCAGGCACAACAAACUGCUUCUACCCACAGGCCAUGAAACUCCUGAGCAAUGGCAACAGAAUCUAGAGUGCGACGUGUGACAUAAUGCGGCAAUCUGUACUUCAGCUAGCUACACUGGGCAAUAUAUCUGCAACGUACAAUAUUAUUCAAUAAUUUGAAUAAUGAAAUGCCGAUGUCAUUUUACCUAAUAUAUGAAAUAUUUGUUUUUUGUAUUGGCUAAACUGCUACAACACAUUAAUAGUCUAAUCCAGGGGUCCCCAAACUAAGGCCCGCGGGCCGGAUACGGCCCGUCAACACAUUUGGCUCGGCCCUCUAACCCUCCUGUUGUCCUCGGAAUGACCCGUCACUGUAUUAAAAAUGCCCCAAAACCCCCUAAAUGAUCAUUUUUAACUUGAAAUUUUAUGACUUUUCCUAAAUUGGCCCCAACUGCAGAAAAUUUGAAACGUUGUUUUUUUUCACAUUUCCAUGGAAGCUGUACAAAAAAAAAAGUACAAAGGUGGUCUUUGGGUCAAAAUGACCCAUGACGCAAAUAGGGUUGAAAUCAAGGUCACAAAGUUAUUUACACACCAUAGAAUAUUUCAGUGUUUUAGUUGCGUCUCAGAUCAAUUAGUAGAACACGUGAACAAGACAGUAGCAGACAUAAACAAGACAAGAUAGCUCCCCUACGAUAGUCACACUUUUUCUGUUACAAACUGACACCGGCCCCCCAUCAGAGAAGGGAAAAGUUAUGU